rnacentral:rRNA from 1 species
GGAUGGUCAGCUACACUGGGACUGAGACACUGCCCAGACUCCUACGGGAGGCUGCAGUCGAGGAUCAUCGGCAAUGCGCGAAAGCGUGACCAUGCGACGCUGCGUGGAGGAUGACGGCCUUCGGGUUGUAAACUCCUGUCAUGCGGGAAAAAUUGCGGCCGUUAGAUAAUAUCGGUUGCUUGAUGGUACCGCAAGAGGAAGCCACGGCUAACUCUGUGCCAGCAGCCGCGGUAAUACAGAGGUGGCGAGCGUUGUUCGGAUUUACUGGGCGUAAAGGGUGCGUAGGUGGUUUCGUAUGUCGGUUGUGAAAGCCCACGGCUCAACCGUGGAAUUGCAUCCGAAACUGCGGGACUAGAGUGCAGGAGGGGAGAGCGGAAUUCUUGGUGUAGCGGUGAAAUGCGUUGAUAUCAAGAAGAACACCGGUGGCGAAGGCGGCUCUCUGGAAUGUAACUGACACUGAGGCACGAAAGUUGGGGGAGCGAACAGGAUUAGAUACCCUGGUAGUCCCAACCGUAAACGGUGUGCACUUGGUGUGGGGAGUAUUAAUCCUCCCCGUGCCGGAGCUAACGCGUUAAGUGCACCGCCUGGGGAGUACGGCCGCAAGGUUAAAACUCAAAGAAAUUGACGGGGGCCCGCACAAGCGGAGGAGCAUGUGGCUUAAUUCGAUGCAACGCGAAGAACCUUACCAGGGCUUGACAUGCAGCUGCACGCCCCGAGAAAUCGGGGAAGCCUUCGAGGGUGCUGCACAGGUGCUGCAUGGCUGUCGUCAGUUCGUGCCGUGAGGUGUUGGGUUAAGUCCCGCAACGAACGCAACCCUUGUGGUUAGUUGCCACAGCAGGUGAUGAGCCUGCGAGCACUCUAGCCAGACUGCCCGUGCAAGCGGGAGGAAGGUGGGGAUGACGUCAAGUCAGUAUGGCCCUUACGCCCUGGGCUGCACACGUGCUACAAUGGCGGGUACAAUGGGAUGCAAUACCGCGAGGUGGAGCAAAUCCUCAGAACCCGCCCCAGUUCGGAUUGGAGUCUGCAACUCGACUCCAUGAAGUUGGAUUCGCUAGUAACGGCGCAUCAGCUACGACGCCGUGAAUACGUUCCCGGGCCUUGUACACACCGCCCGUCACAUCAUGAAAGCCGUCUGCACCCGAAGUCGCUGAGCUAACCCGCUAGGGAGGCAGGUGCCGAAGGUGUGGGUGGUGAUUGGGAUGAAGUCGUAGGGCCGGA